rnacentral:rRNA from 1 species
GACGAACGCUGGCGGCGUGCUUAACACAUGCAAGUCGAACGGAAAGGCCCUGCUUUUGUGGGGUGCUCGAGUGGCGAACGGGUGAGUAACACGUGAGUAACCUGCCCUUGUCUUUGGGAUAACUUCAGGAAACUGGGGCUAAUACCGGAUAGGAGCUCCUGCUGCAUGGUGGGGGUUGGAAAGUUUCGGCGGUUGGGGAUGGACUCGCGGCUUAUCAGCUUGUUGGUGAGGUAGUGGCUUACCAAGGCUUUGACGGGUAGCCGGCCUGAGAGGGUGACCGGCCACAUUGGGACUGAGAUACGGCCCAGAAGGCUACGGGAGGCAGCAGUGGGGAAUAUUGCGCAAUGGGGGGAAGUCUGAGGCAGCAACGCCGCGUGCGGGAUGACGGCCUUCGAGUUGUAAACCGCUUUCGCCUGUGCCGAAGCGUGAGUGACGGUAAUGGGUAAAGAAGCACCGGCUAACUACGUG